CAGUCGAGCGGAGUGAUGGUGCUUGCACUAUCACUUAGCGGCGGACGGGUGAGUAAUGCUUAGGAAUCUGCCUAUUAGUGGGGGACAACAUUUCGAAAGGAAUGCUAAUACCGCAUACGUCCUACGGGAGAAAGCAGGGGAUCUUCGGACCUUGCGCUAAUAGAUGAGCCUAAGUCGGAUUAGCUAGUUGGUGGGGUAAAGGCCUACCAAGGCGACGAUCUGUAGCGGGUCUGAGAGGAUGAUCCGCCACACUGGGACUGAGACACGGCCCAGACUCCUACGGGAGGCAGCAGUGGGGAAUAUUGGACAAUGGGCGCAAGCCUGAUCCAGCCAUGCCGCGUGUGUGAAGAAGGCCUUAUGGUUGUAAAGCACUUUAAGCGAGGAGGAGGCUACUGAAGUUAAUACCUUCAGAUAGUGGACGUUACUCGCAGAAUAAGCACCGGCUAACUCUGUGCCAGCAGCCGCGGUAAUACAGAGGGUGCAAGCGUUAAUCGGAUUUACUGGGCGUAAAGCGCGCGUAGGCGGCUAAUUAAGUCAAAUGUGAAAUCCCCGAGCUUAACUUGGGAAUUGCAUUCGAUACUGGUUAGCUAGAGUGUGGGAGAGGAUGGUAGAAUUCCAGGUGUAGCGGUGAAAUGCGUAGAGAUCUGGAGGAAUACCGAUGGCGAAGGCAGCCAUCUGGCCUAACACUGACGCUGAGGUGCGAAAGCAUGGGGAGCAAACAGGAUUAGAUACCCUGGUAGUCCAUGCCGUAAACGAUGUCUACUAGCCGUUGGGGCCUUUGAGGCUUUAGUGGCGCAGCUAACGCGAUAAGUAGACCGCCUGGGGAGUACGGUCGCAAGAC
rnacentral:rRNA from 1 species